CACGCAGGCGGUCGUGUAAGUUUGGAGUGACAGUGCCCGGCUUAACUGGGCAAGUGCUUCGAAAACUGCGCGACUUGAGGGCUUCAGAGGGACACGGAAUUCCGGGUGUAGUGGUGAAAUGCGUAGAUAUCCGGAGGAACACCGAAGGCGUAGGCAGUGUCCUGGGGAGUACCUGACGCUCAGGUGCGAAAGCCAGGGGAGCGAACG
rnacentral:rRNA from 1 species